rnacentral:rRNA from 1 species
UUAAAUUGAAGAGUUUGAUCAUGGCUCAGAUUGAACGCUGGCGGCAGGCCUAACACAUGCAAGUCGAGCGGAAACGAGUUAUCAGAACCUUC